rnacentral:rRNA from 1 species
AUUGUUGAUGCCCAUCGGAACAAGACAGACGGAAGCGAACUCGUGAACCCUCGUGUUCCCGGCCCGCACGUCUGGGCGGCGCUCUGCACGUGUCGGGCAACGACGAACCAAAUCUCGGCGCGGGACGCGCCAAGCAACUCGGGUAGCUUUGAUUGCGGCGUCCUCUUCCCUACCGGGCCGGAGGGCGCACGCAUCGAACACUUACAAGUAGUCAUUACGACUCUCGGCAACGGAUAUCUCGGCUCUCGCAUCGAUGAAGAACGUAGCGAAAUGCGAUACUUGGUGUGAAUUGCAGAAUCCCGUGAACCAUCGAGUCUUUGAACGCAAGUUGCGCCCGAGGCCUUCCGGUCGAGGGCACAUCUGCUUGGGCGUCAAACAACUCGUCUCCCGCCGCCCUCUCCCUCCAGACUCCGAUCGAGGAGUCUGCCCGAGGCGAGGGUAGGUCGGGCGGAGUCUGGUCGUCCGUGUGCCCGCAGAGCGCAUGCGGUUGGCUGAAAAGCCCGGGCCACGGGCCGAGUGCGGCUCAACGGGUGGUGGUUGUGCGCCCUCUCGCGAGGCCGCGAUUGUCAGCACGCUGCGCCGUUCGCUUCUCGAUUGCCCGGCAAGUACCCAACGCGAUCGAAACGUCCAAUCGGCGGAUCGAUUCGAAUUGCGACCCCAAGUCAGGUGGGACUACCCGC